rnacentral:lncRNA from 1 species
GGGAGGGAGGAGGACAGCCUGGGUGGGAAGUUGCACUUGGCCCAGCUCCCAGAGAGGUGGGUGGCUUUAGGUCAUGCGUUCAUCUGAGACCUAGUACAACCUAGGACCCUGGGGCCCUGUGCCGGUCACUGUGCCUCUUCCAGCCUCGGUAUCCUCUGGAAGGUGAGAAUGAAAAACACCCAAUGACACUCAGACUGGACAGGAGCAGGUACGCAGACAGCAGAUGGCCAGGUGCACAGAGGUGUCGCCUGACUUCCUCACCGGGACGGCAUGGGGUGGGGCUCCUCCUGCAGGCGAAGCCCGCCCGGGACUGGGCUCUGGUGGGUUCUCUCUCUUUUCCUUCAACCAAAGACCUGGCUGGACACCCCCCAUCUGACACUCCGGGGGCUUUCAAGGGGCUUCAGGCAACCCACAUGCAUUCUGGGCAUCCCAUUUAGGGGGAUGAAGAAGGAAUUGGAUAAGGCAAGGGUGGGGCUGGCCCGUCUCCUCUGCUGGUGCAUCAGCCCCUCCUAGGGACACCACUGUCCUUGACCCCUCUGCAGGCCAAUCAGCCCUCCUUGGGAAGCCGCCGUCCUUGCCCGCUCUGCUCCUGGGGUCCCACCCAAGCUUCAAUCCUCGCUGUGUGGUCUUCCCUCCGUGAGCCUUCAUUUCCUCAUCGCCCUGGGAGGCAGAUGCUGCCAUGAAACCACGGUGCCCUCAAGAAACCUGGCCAUGAGGGGGCUUCCUGCCUGCCCACGGCCCUGCAGGUCAUGGACCCUUCCAUGGAGGUCUGACAGCCCUGGCCCAGGCAGAACACGGCCUCAGCGUGCUCCUGUGGACCCUGGUGGGAGCCCCAGGAGCCGCGGUGAUGGGGUGAGUCGGGCCAACUUCUUGGCUGUUGCCUGUGGCCCAUCAACGCCUGCGGGUGGACGCCCUUCAGGGCCAGAGCAGGCGCCUCAGCGUGCAGACACUGUCUGGCUCUCUUUCUGCGUUUUCUUCAUCUGGAUUCUGUUGGGACAACAAUCAAGGCUGUCUCGUUCUGUCUGUGGAAUGGGCCUCACCUAGCAAGAAGCCCCAGGGGCCCCCAGGGCUGGGUUACCGGCAGAGAGAAGCCACUGCGACCUUUGCCCUCCCUAAAUCCAGAGGUAUUUGGCCCAGAAGCUCCUCCCUGAGUCCUUGCUGGAGCAUUUGUCUUCAAACGGAGGAGGAGAACCAAUGGAGUCUCAUUCUGCGGCUCACUGCAACCUCCACCUCCCGGAUUCAAGCGAUUCUCCUGCCUCAGCCUCCCAAGUAGCUGAGAUUACAGGCAUGCGCCACCAUGCCUGGCAAAUUUUUGUGUUUUUAGUAGAGACGGGGUUUCACCAUGUUGGCCAGGAUGGUCUCAAUCUCUUGACCUCGUGAUCCGCCCGCUUUGGCCUCCCAAAGUGCUGGGAUUACAGGUGUGAGCCACUGUACCCGGCCUCAGGUAGUAUCUUUAUAGCAGUGUGAGAAUGGGUUAAUACAAUGUGCAGGGCCUUAAGCUGUGGCUGACUGGUAGAAGCAGCUCAAUAAAUGGUGGAUGGAUGGAUGGAUGGAUGGAUGGAUGGAUGGAUUCACUAAUUACUGACUCACUUGUUGGGUGUGGUAGAGCAUCAGAUCACAGACCUUAGAGCCUGGCUUCCAAGGUUUGAAUCUGUGAUAUACUGACUCCAUAAUAUUAAGUGAUUUAUGUAAUGUUCCCAUGCCUCAGUUUCCUCAUCUGUAAAAUAAAGUCCAAAGAUUUCUGUUCUUUUUCAAUAUGGCCAGUUAAGAACCUGCACAAACCCUCCCACUAACAGCAGCUAGAAAUUCUGGGUAGAAUGAAAAAUGCCUGUCUUGUUGAUUAUUGUCUUGAGCUGACUAGGAAGUGUGGAGUACUCAGGCCAGGAUAGAGAAAAGAUGGGACCCAGAGAGGAAGGUGGACACUGAAUCUGGCUUUCCUGGGAGGUAUGGAAAGAUGUGGCCACUGCUCCAUCUCUGAAACAAAAAGCUGAACUUAUUGCUUGUUCAGCAUGGGAGAGCUAUAAUUGUAAGGCUCAGACUGCCCGAACAAAGCAAACUGCUGGCCUUCAUAGUGUUUCAGGAAGAGUGGAGUUCAGGCAUAGGAGGCUUUCAGAAGUGGGAGAGCUUGGGGAAUGAUUGAUCUCUAACUGAGGGAGACUAGUUAUUGGAGAGGGGCUACUGCUGGUUGGUUGACCAAAGAAAGUGGUCACUACUAGAUUGAGACGGACUUAAUGCUGGUGUUUGCUUGUUGCUGUGGCCAGACAACAGCCUAUCUUUUCAUUUUGAAGUUGGAGAAUUGAAAUUUUUUAUUCUCAUAGGCAAACCUGAGCAUCAUUUUUUGACUACUUUUGUGGCUAGAGGUCAGAAGACAAAGCACAGAGCCUGGCCAUGCAGGAGAGUCUAGUGGAAGACCAUUCCUUCAAUGUGGGACUCCAUGGGCUACACCUCACUGUCAUGGGAAACUAGAAAAUCUAUUUCCCCUUUGGAUACUACAUCGGCACUGCCUGUAGCAAACUUUGGUGCCAAGUGGAGCAGGAAAAGCAUUCUCUAAGAAUUAAUAACUAUAACCUGAACUACGUGUGUGUGUAUGUAGCCUGAAUCCACAUUUCCUCAACUAUCCAAAACAAGGGAUUUUAGUUUAAAGGAGUGUCAGAUUGGAAGUGCCUCAAUUGUUUGACAGAAGUAAAUACAAUUACUUUCUAAAGGACUCUGCCUUUACCUCAGGCCUCAGAAAAUUUCCAUAAAGUUCCACAGCAAAUGAGCAGUUCAGAGUAAAAAAAAAAUCACUAAAUAUACAAGGAAACAAGACACCAUGAGGGAAAGUCAACAGAAACAACAGGCAGUAGAAUCAGAUCAGCCAAACAUUUAGAUACUAAAAAUAGCAGGACUGGAAAAUAAAUGUGUUUUAUGGAAGAAAUAAGAGGCUUGGAUGUAUUAAUGAAGAACAAGCAUACUUGAAAAAGAACCAAACAUACUCUUAGAAAUAAAAACAUGACAAUCAAAAUGAAAAACUCAAAAGAUAGCUUAACCACAGUUUAGACAUGACCGAAGAAGGAAUUGAUGAACUGAAGGAUAAGGCAAAAGACAUUAGGAGAGUUGCACUCCUGAAAGAUAAAGAACUGGGAAAUAUAAAGAACAUGAGGACUUGCGUGCAAAUGUAAGCAUAUUGCUAAUUGGAUUUCCAGAAAAUGAAGAGAGAUAGAAUAGGAGUAGGGGCAAUAUUUGAAGAGGAUUAUGGCUGAAACUAUUUCAGAUAUAAUGAAAGAUAGCAACCCACAAAUUUAAGAAGCCCAGUGACUCUCAAGCAAGCCAAAGAAAAAGGAUUCCACACGAGUCACAUAAGAAUAAAAAUACAGAACAUUGAAGACCAAGAGAAGUCUUAUAAAAGAGCCCAAGAGAAAAUAUAGAUUAUCUUCAAAGAUAGUUACGCUGAGAACUUACUAUUCAGGAGCAACAAUGGGAAUUAGGAAACAGAGAAAUGAUGUCUUCAAAAUGCUCAGAGCAAAUGAUUACCAACCUAGAAUUCAAUAUCCGGUGAAAAAAAUUAAAGAUGCAAAUGAUUGUCAACCUAGAAUUCAAUAUCCAGUGGAAAAAAUAAAGACACAAAGGAUUACCCACCUAUACAAUUCAAUAUUCAGUGAAAAAAAUAAAGACAAUCAUAGGCAAAUAAAAAUCAAGAAGGUGUCCCACAAACAACCCUUGCUUAAGGAAAUUUUUUGUAAAAUUAAUUUUAUUUUUUAAGACAGGGUCUCACUCUGUUGCCCAGAUGGGAGUGCAGUGGUGCAAUCAUGGCUCACUGCAGCCUUGAACUCUCAGACUUGGGUGAUCCUCCCA